UUGUAGCAGUAAGGCCUUAUGUGCCCCUUUCUUCCACAGUGAUGACAUCUCCAUGAGUGGUACCUGCUUCUUGGUCUAGGUAUAAACCUAGGUCUCUGCCAUCUUAGCUGAUGUGGUGCCACAUGUGGCAACACUUGUCUCUGCUGUCUAGGAGACAGAUGUGACGACAUCCUGUCAUGCAUUUUUGGAGACGGUUGUUUACUUAUCUCAGGCAUAUAUUUCCCUUCUUUGUUGUAAUCCAUAAUCCUAUUAACAUUUUUGUAUUCAUACCCAAUGCCUGUUUUGGAUCUACUUGGAGCAGGCAAAGUUUCCAGGAUUUCAUCUAGAUCACUUCCUUUGAAUAGCCUAAGAACAUGCUUUUUUAAAUUCUCAAGAUGAGAGUUUAAUUCAGUU
rnacentral:lncRNA from 1 species